UCCCCNAGGUAUCCUGAAUCUUUCGCAUUGUUAAUCAUACAAGUGCAUAUAAUAAACAUAGAAAAUCAAUGAUAAUCAUGCUAUUAUAUAAUUUUAAAAAAAUUAACGCACUGUAUUCAUAUAAAUCUAUCAACACUUUAUCAAAUUAAUGACAUUUAUUUUAUGUUACAAUACGCAAGCAAAAUAAUUUAAAUAAACUAUAAGUCAUAUUUUAUGAUAAAUGUGGUUUAUAUUAAUAGAUGACUAUGUCCUUAUAUGGA
rnacentral:rRNA from 1 species